rnacentral:lncRNA from 1 species
UAAAUGGGAAUGACUAUGGUUGCACAUUGAAUAUACUCUUGAUUUCAGGUGGCCAUUAAGCAGAUGAAUCUUCAGCAGCAGCCCAAGAAAGAGCUGAUUAUUAAUGAGAUCCUGGUCAUGAGGGAAAACAAGAACCCAAACAUUGUGAAUUACUUGGACAGUUACCUCGUGGGAGAUGAGCUGUGGGUUGUUAUGGAAUACUUGGCUGGAGGCUCCUUGACAGAUGUGGUGACAGAAACUUGCAUGGAUGAAGGCCAAAUUGCAGCUGUGUGCCGUGAGCUGACUUUGGAUUCUGUGCACAGAUAACC